AGCCGAAUACCCCACUUAGCUAAAUGAUUCACACAAAUCACUAAUAGCCAACUCAAAUUCAUCCUUAAUUUCUCCUAUAACGAAAUUCAUCAAAAUUUAAUAAGAAAAUACAUCAAAUUCCAUGACUGAAUUUGCAUUUAUAAUAAAACAAAAUCCUUGCAUCUCGUCAAUAUGUCCAAUUGCAAAAAUUGCUUAAUUCAUCACCUAAGCAACAUGAAACUCC
rnacentral:lncRNA from 1 species